GACUCUCGACAACGGAUAUCUCGGCUCUCGCAUCGAUAAAGAACGUAGUGAAAUGCGAUACUUGGUGUGAAUUGCAGAAUCCCGUAAACAAUCGAGUCUUUGAACGCAAGUUGCGCCCGAAGCCGU
rnacentral:rRNA from 1 species